rnacentral:rRNA from 1 species
CUUAGCGCGGUGGUCCCACCUGACCCCAUGCCGAACUCAGAAGUGAAACGCCGUAGCGCCGAUGGUAGUGUGGGGUUUCCCCAUGCGAGAGUAGGGAACUGCCAGGC